rnacentral:rRNA from 1 species
UACGAAGGGGGCUAGCGUUGCUCGGAAUCACUGGGCGUAAAGGGUGCGUAGGCGGGUCUUUUAAGUCAGAGGUGAAAUCCUGGAGCUCAACUCCAGAACUGCCUUUGAUACUGAGGAUCUUGAGUUCGGGAGAGGUGAGUGGAACUGCGAGUGUAGAGGUGAAAUUCGUAGAUAUUCGCAAGAACACCAGUGGCGAAGGCGGCUCACUGGCCCGAUACUGACGCUGAGGCACGAAAGCGUG